UACGUAGGGUGCAGGCGUUAAUCGGAAUUACUGGGCGUAAAGCGUGCGCAGGCGGUUUGCUAAGACAGGUGUGAAAUCCCCAGGCUUAACCUGGGAACUGCGCUUGUUACUGGCAAGCUAGAGUGUGGCAGAGGGGGGUGGAAUUCCAGGUGUAGCAGUGAAAUGCGUAGAGAUCUGGAGGAACACCGAUGGCGAAGGCAGCCCCCUGGGCUAACACUGACGCUCAUGCACGAAAGCGUGGGGAGCAAACAGG
rnacentral:rRNA from 1 species